rnacentral:lncRNA from 1 species
GGGACAGGAAAGAAUGUCCAGUUCCAGUAUUGUUUAUCACAAGGACAGGAAAGUAUGUUGGUUUGAAUUCUCAGCCAUCAGGAAGACUUAUUUCUAAAGUUCUAAAAUUCACCCUCAAAUUUUUAGUAUAUAUUUUCUCUUUUUUGUCUACCACCCACUUUUCCUCAGCUUUGUUGUUUAAGUAGUCGAUAACCUCAUUUCCCAUCUUACUCACUAAAUAGGCUUCAGGUUCAGAUUUGAUCAGCAGGGGAUCUUAUUAUCUUCCUCUUUCCAGUGCCAUUAUCUACCACGAAAUUAGUUGACUAGCUAAUUUUAAGAGUCUAAUUGUUGGAAUGGACUAUGACGGUGAAUUAUUCCCAGGGUAAAGUGUUUCCUUUUCACUGUAUUCAUCAGUUCCCCUCAAGACACACCCUUGUUUUCUUUUUUUAAAGGACUGGUCCUUUGGCUAAUUUCCUGCACUGUUUAAUGUGUAUUGGCUGCUCCAAUUCUAUUCACUUCCAGACUUGCCUGCCAGUAUCUUUAUUCUGUGUUUAUGAUUCUGUUCUUGCUUGGGACCCUAUGUAUUUUGGUCUAGGGGAAAACUUCUAGGCACAUUUGCUUCCCUAUCUUUUCAGGAGUCCAUGGACUCAUUGGUUGAGGCUAUUGACUUGUUGACUAUGAAAAGUCUCCUCUAAGAUUCAACAACGGUAACACCUGAAAGAGGAGUAACAGCCAACUAUAUUUAUUUUUCAUAUAGGUGACAUCUAGAGAAAGAAGAGGUAAACAUGAAAGACACUACUUUUAAAAAUAGAAUGUUAGAACUGCUCUUAAAAUUCAAGGCCCUAAUUUUUGAGUUGAAAAACGGUUGAAACAAUGAUGUGAUGAAAUCUACUCAAGUUCUCUGAGAUGGUGAACACAAGGCCAGGUUAGAAUCCAGAUCUCAACUCAUAUCUCUCAGUUCAAAAGUGGCAAAAACUACUCAGUAGCAAACAAAAAUACUGACAUGGGAACCUUUCCCCCUUGCAUUGUCUAUGGACCCUCUCUUAGAAAACUUUGUUUUACAAGAAAGAGAAGGUUUAGUUCUUAUAGGUUCAAUUUAGUGCCAUCAAGGACCCUAGUGGGGUCCUAAAAAGGCAUCUAUUAGUGAUCUCCAUUAAGCUUUAGAGAUAUAUAAAACUCUUAAAACCGUAGGCAAAAUUGUGUAUAUAGGUGUAUGAGAGCAUUUUCUGGUGUAAAAGAACAUAACUAUUGGGAAAUUCUCAAAGCAUAAAGAUCCACUGUACCGGAACUUCACUUUGUGAAAGCUUACUUCAUCACUUUCCAGCUAUGUGAACCUGAGCAAAUUAACUUAACCUCCUCUUUUCUGAGUUUGCUCCUCUGUAAAUACAGAUGUGGCAGACACUGUGAUUUGUCUGUUCAACAUUUAUGCUCCCUUUUUCCUUUUUACUGAGCUCUAUUUUUUUCUGGGUAGCAGUGUGCUUGGUUACAAUAUGUACCUUUCUACAGAUCCUUGCAACUAGGCUUGGGGAUAUGACCAAAUUCUGGCCAAUGAGAUGUUAGUUGAAGUCACUGGGUUGGGCUUUUAGAAAAGUUACUAUUUUUCUCAUUAAAUAGAAGUAGAGUGAGGGGAGCAAAUUUAGUAGGCAUAAGUGUUUGGCCAACUCACCAUUUUCCUCUUUCUAGCUGGAACACAGAUGCAAUUGCUAUUUUGUAAACAUCAGAAUGAAAGCCAUGUGCUAAGAAUGACUGAAUCAGUGUUAGAGAAGAUGUGGUUCUUGAUACCUCCCCUGAGCCAUUACAAAAGUCCUAGACUGCCCGCCUCCUGAUUUAUGACAUUGUGAGAAAAAAAAAAAAAAAAA